UCAAGCAAGCUCCACACUGUCAGCAUGGAGCCCAAUGUGGGGCUCAAACCCACAAACCAUGAGAUCAUGACCUAAGCUGAAGUUGGACCCUCAACAACUGAGCCAUCCAGGUGCCCUGGGAGCCUCAAUAGUUUAUGAUCUCCCCUAAGGAGAGUUUGUAAAGUGGCAACUAAAGAGCUCAGGUUGGAGUCCUUAGGAACUCCCAAAUGGCAUGAACAGCAGAGGAGAAAGAGCCAUUGGAGGAAAUUGAGAAGGGGCCACCAAAGUAGGCAGUCACCAGGAGGGUGUGACAUCACAAAGCCAGCAAAAGAGGAGGUGUCACAAAGGGUGAUCAGUUGUGUCAAACACUACUAAGAAGUUGAGCUUUAAGUCUGGAUUUAAGAACACGUUAGAUAUAGCAGCAUAAAAGUCUUUGUUGAUCUUAAUAGGAAUAUACUCAGAUAAGUGGAGGCAACAAUCUCUCAGGUAGAAGGUGAAAGGCCUCUUGAAGCCAGACCAGCCAGUUUUUGUAGCAGGCUCUGCUUUAUUCCUAGAGUGGAUCGAGAAGUCAGUGCAUUAUCUCAUGUGAUCCUUCUACAAUCAUGUAAGUGGUGUUCAUGCAGUUAACAUUUGAUAGGAAUCCAGUCAAGUAGAACCCUUCUACCAGAGCUAGCUGCUCCAAACAUCACGCCCAGGCAAAUGGCUGCUACAUCUGAACCAAAGGCUAGGACCUCGAUCCUUUCUCAGCAACGUCUGACUUGUCAUCUGCCUCAUGAGCCAUCUCCUCCCAUCACCCUGAGCUCCACACACCCAAUCCCCACAUCCUCACUUCUUCCUGCCCUAAGUAAAUAUACCCAUCCCCCAAUUUGGGGUCCUUCCCAAGUUUGAAACAAUCUGCGUGAUCCCACCCUUCCUGCCAGCCAGGCCACCUACAACAUCAAUUCAAGUCCUGUGUGCCUCACCUCUGAAAUGUCUCUCAUCCUUCCCCCUGCCCAUCCUUCCUUUUGAUUUCCUCUCUCUGCACCGCCUGAUAUGUGUGCCUCAGUUGUUUCCCUGUCAGUCAUCUGACCUUUAGUCUCUGUCCACUUCAGUCUACCACCAGCCACUCUGAGACCUCAACACUCUCUCACAAGCUCAUGCACCGUCACGCUCCUGGCCUUCAAAUCUCUGUGAGGCUCUUUUUGCCUGGUGAACAACUUAACCUCCUGUGCACGGCAUCCAAGAACUUCUGGGCCCUGGAUACAUUGUUGUUCCAAGGUUACAUCACAUGAAUCUACUACAGAACUUUCUGCUUCAAUCAGAGUAGGCCACACACACCUUGCCCCAAAAAAGUCUGUGUCGUCCCCACACCUUGUUUUUGCCUUCUCUACCGGACAUAAGCCUUUGUCAAGCAUCUCUAUCUGCCGGCUUUGACCUGCUUUGAACACCCUUUCCCAGGAACCAUCCCAGAAGAGCCUGUCUUCAGCAGGGAAUGAUUUCCAACCUUGCCUUCAUUCUUUGAGCAAUGAGCUUAAACUUCUCUUAGCAUGAUAUUUUAUUUUUAGAGCCAUACCUUUAUUCCCUAAACAGAAUGAAAACUCCAGGAGGACAGGCAAAAUGUUUUCUUCCUCUUUUGACAUAAUAGACAACAAAAUACAGUGGAAAGAAUAUGGGUUUUAGAGCCAGCAAGUAUGACUUUGAAUCCUGACUCUGCUACUUACCGGUUCUUACCUUGACCUUACCAUACCUUAACCACUCUGAGCCUGUUUUCUCAUCUGUAAAGUGGGGGUGAUGCUAAGUAAUAUGAGCAUUAGCCUUUAGUGAGAAUAAAAUGAUAUAAUGUAUAUAUUCAAGAUAUAUCUUUCAAAAAGCAUUUGUUUUACCACUUCUCUUUAUAU